rnacentral:rRNA from 1 species
CGGACGGGUGAGUAACGCGUAAAGAACUGCCCCCUAGACUGGGACAACUGUUGGAAACGACAGCUAAUACCGGAUAUUAUGGAACUGCGGCAUCGCAGAACUAUGAAAGGCUAUAUGCGCUAGAGGAGAGCUUUGCGUCCCAUUAGUUAGUUGGUAGGGUAAUGGCCUACCAAGACGAUGAUGGGUAGCCGGCCUGAGAGGGUGAUCGGCCACAAGGGGACUGAGACACGGCCCUU